UACAGAGGGUGCAAGCGUUAAUCGGAAUUACUGGGCGUAAAGCGUACGUAGGUGGUUGGAUAAGUCAGGUGUGAAAUCCCCAAGCUUAACUUGGGAAUUGCGUUUGAUACUGUCUGACUUGAGUUUGGUAGAGGGAGGUGAAAUUCCAGGUGUAGCGGUGAAAUGCGUAGAGAUCUGGAGGAACACCAGUGGCGAAGGCGGCCUCCUGGACUAAAACUGACACUGAGGUACGAAAGCGUGGGGAGCAAAC
rnacentral:rRNA from 1 species